rnacentral:sRNA from 1 species
GCGAACUUAAUCCCGUGGCAAGUUUAAGAGCUAAGCUGGAAACAGCAUAGCAAGUUUAAAUAAGGCUAGUCCGUUAUCAACUUGAAAAAGUGGCACCGAGUCGGUGCUUUUU